UCGGGAGUAGCUCAGUGGUAGAGCAGUUGGCUGUUAACCAAUUGGUCGUGGGUUCGAAUCCCUCCUCCCGAGCCA
rnacentral:tRNA from 3 species